rnacentral:rRNA from 1 species
UAAAAACCCCGACUUCGGAAGGGGUGUAUUUAUUAGAUACAAAACCAAUGCCCUUCGGGGCUCUUUGGUGAUUCAUGAUAACCAUACGAAUCGCACGGCCUUGCGCCGGCGAUGGUUCAUUCAAAUUUCUUCCCUAUCAACUUUCGAUGUUUGGGUAUUGGCCAAACAUGGUUGCAACGGGUAACGGAGGGUUAGGGCUCGACCCCGGAGAAGGAGCCUGAGAAACGGCUACUACAUCCAAGGAAGGCAGCAGGCGCGCAAAUUACCCAAUCCCGACUCGGGGAGGUAGUGACAAUAAAUACUGAUACAGGGCCCUUUCGGGCCUUGUAAUUGGAAUGAGUACAAUUUAAAUCCCUUAACGAGGAACAAUUGGAGGGCAAGUCUGGUGCCAGCAGCCGCGGUAAUUCCAGCUCCAAUAGCGUAUAUUAAAGUUGUUGUGGUUAAAAAGCUCGUAGUUGAACCUUGGGCCUGGCUGGCCGGUCCGCCUCACCGCGUGCACUGGUCCGGCCGGGCCUUUCCCUCUGUGGAACCCCAUACCCUUCACUGGGCGUGGCGGGGAAACAGGACAUUUACUUU